ACUUAUGUAGUUUAGUUAAAACAUCGAUUUGUGGUAUCGGAAAAACAGUUAUAUGUCUUAGGUU
rnacentral:tRNA from 1 species